GUUCAUCCAAUGCUAUCCAGGAGAGAUGUCCCAGUGAGACAAAUGUGCAGUCCUCUCCACAAGUAAAAAGAAGAGAAGCUGCCUUCGGGUGGUGGAGUCUUUAACCCACUUCUCUUCUGCCGAGACUGAAAAGGAUCCAAAUCUCAUGGCAUUAAGGAACAGGAAGCAGGGAAAUUCUGCGCAGAAGAGGGCAGUUCCCUGGGCUUGGCCAGCAGAGAAAGGAGAAGCAGCUGGACAACGAGGACUAUGGUUGGAAGUUGGAGAGAAGCAGCUUGACUUCAGAGGGACAGCUUGAUGGCAUAGCUUCAGAGAGGAGUCUGACUGGGGAUAGCCAGACUUCAGGGGAAGAUUACCUUCCUGCUCCAUCCCCUCUUUGGCUCCCCUUCCUGCUGAGAGCCACGUUCAUUGGCAAUAAAGUCCCCUGCAUUUA
ensembl:lncRNA novel transcript